GGUUAGGGGCCAAGGUCAUGUCUUGGUGGCGCAGGAAGGUGGUCUUCCCCGUCAGGCGAGCUUGGCUCGCCGUCUCCUUCCGCGUCAAGUCUCGAAAACACGUUAGCAGUAGCAGAGCAGAGAGAAGAAGGCAGGAAGGACUAAAGAGUAAAGAGAGACUAAUUUCUGUCCUAUUGCCAUCUGAUGUGUCAUUUAGAACUUAUCCUUUCUCAAAGUGAAACAGAGUAGCUUUGGA